CUCUAACCUCAAAAAAACGAUCAUGUCGAUAAAACCGUCAUAAAGCAGAUAAUCGUUUAUCCUCCCCCCUUCUCUCUAAUAUAAUUAAAAGUAAUUUAUUCGGUGAGCUUGUAAAAGAGAAAAUGUCAUUGCGUGGGUGGUGGAUACAGUGACAACGACAAUUAAGAAAUUUAUGAAAUUUAUCUCUCAUCAUCCAUUGUAUGUGAGAACGGGUCAAAUUUUUUAGCUUUCCUCUCUCUCUUUCUACAAAUCAGAAUUGUUCGGAACAUCCCGAGCCCAACCGGCGGGCGAUGCGCGAACAGCAAUGAGUGCAAAGCGCGCCGCGUGCCCGACGGGUUUUGGUAAUGUCGCGCUCGCGAAAAUGAUUAUCGAAUUCGUAUACAUAUAAUUAUGCAGUGAGUGCUUUAGAAUUAAUAUCACACGGCCACGAGGGACCUUGAAGAGACCAUGUCGCGAUACUGGUACAAUCAUUGAAUAUACCAUAUAUAAAUUCGAGAAUAACAAAAACAAAGAGAGACACAAGGAAUUGCAGAAAAGGUCGGGUAUUUCGUUCACACCCGACCCGGCUGUCAGGACGCCAUGUUUUUCAAUCGAAAACCGAUGGCGAAGUUUAUCACGCUAACAUUUUACUCUCUUCUUCUUGCUUGUGCUUCGUCUCAAAAUGAUUUGGGAGCAGCGGAAAAUGCGGAAACAGGAAAAGAGCCGUCGAUGCAUGUUGAAGUGUCUCAGGAUGCUGAAGGUAUUGAAGCCGGUAGCACGCCUUCAUUAACGUGUCAAUUUAGCGAGCCAGGUCAUAUUGUUUGGCUUUCGCCAGGAAGAAAUUUGACCUUCGUUAAAGAGUCAAAGGAAAAAGUGAGAUUAGAUCUGAAACCGGCUCGUCGACAAGAUACGGGCAAUUACACUUGUCGUGCACAAACGGAAUCUGGCAAAUUGGUCGAUAAAACAAUUGGUAUUCGUGUCAUAGAACCGGGGAGAAUAGAACCUGGGGAAAAAGUGCGAAUAAAAGUAUUGGAAGAGGCGACAUUAACGUGUCAUAUUUACGGUGAUCCGGUGAAUAAUUUGAGUUGGUCGAAAGGCAACGAUUCGGAUAAUCAAGGACACUUGAAGGAUCAUAUGAAUAUAACGCGUGUUAAUGAGACUUAUGUGCAAUUGACAUUGAAUUUUCCGAGUGUGACGAGAAAGGACAAUGGAACUUACAUUUGUCACGCGGAAGAUUACAGUAAACGAAGUCUGGCAGCUGAAGUGCAUCUUUUUGUGAUUGAAGUGCCACAAGUCAGUAUUGACUUUAUGAAGGCAGUCGGCGCUGGGAGUAUAUUUUUGAAUUGGACCGUAAACAAUGGCAAUGAACCAAUAAAAAGGUAUUAUAUUCAGAAUUUAAAGAAAGGCACCGAUCAAUGGCAAUAUAAUAAAGAACAAAUUGGAGGCGGUAUCACGAGCUAUGUUGUCAAUGGAUUAGAAAAAACAACGCCAUAUCAAAUUAAAAUUAGCGCCGAAAAUUCUGUUGGUAAAUCGCAUAUUCAAAUUGAUCCCCGAUGGAUUACAACCUUAGACGAAGAUCCAAUUUUUAUUCCAACUGUUGUGAUGAAUGGAGCGAAUGAAAAUUCGAUAACAAUCACCUGGACAACACCACCGGCGCAUUUAAAGGAGCAUGUACAUUUUUAUAAUUUGAAAGCAACGCACAAGGAAGAAAAUUUAGAGACGACUUAUCCAGCUAAACCUGAAUCUUAUUAUGCGUUUAUGAAUCUCGAACCGAUGACAACUUACAAUUUUAAAGUACAAGCGUGCAGUGAAUAUACGAAACAAUGCGGAAACUGGAGCGCGGAGAUAAAUGGCACCACUUAUGAUGGAGCUGCAAGUCCUCCACGAAAUUUGUCCGUCACGUGUCGUUACGAUAACAUAAGCAGCACCAGUUUUCUCACUCUCAGCUGGGAAUCGCCAGAAAAGCCGAAUGGCGUCAUUGAUCGUUAUGGUGUUAAUUUGACGGGAAUUUCUGUCUAUCGAAACGACUUGGGACGACUGGAGGUCGAUAACUGGGGACCGAGCGAUAAAAAUGCCCUCGGCACUGCACGUUCUUAUCACUUUAAUCAGAUACCCCCUAAUACGAAUUACACGGUAACACUGCGUGGAAUUACGCGACAUCGAAGUACAGGAAAGGAGGCGAGCGCGAAUUGUACAAUGCCGCCGUCAGUGCCGGAUAAGGACAGUUUAAAUUUACGAACAUGGCGUAAAAUUGACUAUGAAGGACGAAAAUUAUUUAAACUCUAUUUGCCGCGUAUUUCCGAGAGGAACGGUCCAAUUUGUUGUUAUCGUGUAUUUAUGGUGAAAUUAAAUCAACAAAAGACAAUUGCCGAUUUACCAUUGCCUGAGGAUAUUUCCGUUUAUUCGUAUAAUUAUGUUCACUCGGAGAAUUCAAAUGGUGCAUAUCUUGCGGAAAUGUUUGACAGCAAGCAUUUAAUGACAGAAGUGUUUCUCGGUAAUGGCGAAUCGUUCAAUGGAAGUAGCGAGUGUGAUAAGUGCAUUGGAUUGAGACCAAAACCAAUACCAACUGAACUUCAUUUUAUACCCGAGUCGAGUGGCGGUAAUUCAUCAAUUACAACGUCGACGACGACGACUUUGAGUUCUGUCGGUGUGUCGAGUCCUUCACAGCCGGAAAUCACGACGAGUGUUCCAAUUGGUUUCACAGGAUCGCCAGCGAGAAGGCGGAGAGACGAGGCGAGUGGAAGUGAGGCAGUGGAAUUGCAACCUUUUCCACCGCAGGAUGGAUUUUUGGACGAGAAGGCAAAUUACACUGGGUUCAUCGAAGUUGUUGUUUAUGGCAGCAAAGAGGGACAAGUACUGACAGCUUAUAGUAGUUACUUUACACCUCUUUAUGGUGGAGUUGAAAUUUUGACAGCAGCUGCGGAAGAUACAACGACUCUUGGUUUUAUUUUGCAAAUUUCGAUUUUCAUGGUUGUACUAAUCGUCGUAUUACUCGUUACCCUCUGCAUUAUGGUGAAAUACUCGAAACGUUCUCAACAGCAAGGCGAGGAAAUUAUCACACUAACAGACAGUUUCAGACAUCUUUGCAGAAGUUUAAGAGGUCGUCAUCAAUUGGUGGCGGCGAGUCCUCCGGACAUGCCACCGGUUCAAAAAGGAGAACUCUAUCAAUCAUUCAUCGAUCGUCAUCGAAAUUCUGAUUAUGGAUUUCAGCAUGAAUUUGAACUUCUACCAGAUAAAUUUACCGAUCGUACAACGCGUGCCUCGGAAAUGCGUGAGAAUCUCUAUAAAAAUCGUUAUCCCGACAUAAAGUGUUACGAUCAAACACGCGUUCGUCUAACACAAAUUGACGGCAUUUGUGGAUCAGAUUAUAUAAAUGCAAACUUUGUCCUUGGCUAUAAGGAACGAAAGAAAUUCAUUUGCGCUCAGGGCCCAAUGGAGAAUACUGUUUGUGAUUAUUGGCGAAUGAUUUGGGAACAACAUCUGGAAUUGGUAUUGAUGUUGACAAAUCUUGAGGAGUAUUCGAAGACGAAGUGUGCAAAAUAUUGGCCCGAUACGAGUGAGACGAAGAAUUUUGGUGAUAUUACGGUGGAUCAUGUGAGAGAGAGGGCGUAUUCGGAUUAUGUUGUGAGGGAAUUGAAAAUGUCGAGAAGUGGUGAACGUGAAUCGAGGACAAUUGUUCAAUAUCAUUUUCUUGUUUGGAAAGAUUUUAUGGCACCUGAACAUCCGCACGCUAUUUUGAAAUUUAUCAAGAGAGUGAAUGAGGCUUAUUCAUUGGAGAAGGGGCCAAUUUUGGUGCAUUGCAGCGCUGGUGUUGGACGAACGGGAACGUUGGUUGCAUUGGAUUCACUUCUUCAGCAAUUGUCCGACGAGGGACAAGUCUCGAUUUUUAAUACUGUUUGCGAUUUGAGGCAUCAACGAAAUUUCCUCGUGCAAUCGUUGAAGCAGUAUAUUUUUAUCUAUAGAGCUCUCAUGGAAAUGGCGCAGUAUGGCGAUACGGAAAUUCAGGCUUCGCAAAUGAAGGCCGCGGGCGAGAGACUGAGGCAGAGGGAGAACGGAAAGGAAAUGUGUCGAAUGGAAGAGGAAUACGAAAAAAUUGUGGCAGUCUUGGAGGAUCGAAAGUCGUUUUCGGUUGGCGGCGCAGAUGAGAAUAAGGGGAAAAAUCGUGAUGAUUCAGUGAUACCGUACGAUAGAAAUCGAGUGAUAUUAACCCCAGUUCCUGGACGAGAGCAUUCUACCUAUAUUAAUGCAUCAUUUAUCGAGAGUUACGAUAAUUCCGAGUCAUUUAUCAUCACACAAGAUCCAAUGGAGUCAACGAUCGCCGAUUUUUGGCGAAUGAUUUCCGAACAUUGUAUAUCGACAAUCGUCAUGCUUUCAGAUUUGAACGAGGGAUACAGAAAAUGUCCGCGAUACUGGCCGGACGAUGAGACAAUGCACGAUCACAUAAGAGUGCGUUACAUACAAAGUGAGAGUUGUCCAUAUUACACGAGACGUGAAUUGUGCGUUUCAAAUACAAAAAUGGAUGAAAAUAUUGUCGUUACACAAUAUCAAUAUCAUGGUUGGCCUACUGUCGAGGGUGAAGUGCCGGAAGUCACUAGAGGCCUCAUUGAACUCGUCAAUCAGACGCAAUCGAAUGGCACGGAAAGUACCGGACCACUAGUCGUUCACUGCAGCUGUGGCUCCGACAGGAGUUCCAUGUUUGUAGCCCUUAGCAUAUUAGUUCAACAACUCAGAACCGAGAAGCGAAUAGAUAUAUUCACGACGACAAAGAAAUUACGAUCGCAGAGGCACGGGAUGAUCAGUUCUUUCGCACAGUACGAAUUUCUGCAUCGAGCAAUUGUGAAUUACUCGGAUCUGCACAAUCUUGCCGACGAUGAACCAGCCUCUUAAUGAAGGGAGGUGAAAGGUUAGGCCCGAUGGACUCUGCAAUUUAUUUUCCUUUGCUUUACGGUUUUUGCUCUAAAAACACAAAAAAAGUGAGCAACGCAAGUUUUGUACGUAGAAACCUAUCAAGAGAAAAUUAAAAGGAACCAUCUUUAUUAUCUUGGAAAUCGUCGAGGAUUGUUUUUUGUCGUGAAAUAUUAAGAGUAUUCACUGGAUCGAAUCUCAAGUUACCCACAAGAAAUGAAGAAAAAGGGCUUUCUCACAAACUGAAAAUGUUGAGGCCACCGUUUUUGCAGUAACUAGUGAAAAAAAGAAGCCCAGGAAGUGAAAAAAAGAAAAACUACGAUUAUCAUCAUUCACAAGUGGAGAGAAGAAAAAACUGAUUAGUUUUACAAGUUUAUUUUUUGAACGCGAUAUUUUUAUAUAUAUACCAUUUAGAUAUAUAUAUUGUGUACUUUUGUAUAAAUUACUAAUUGCCAAUUAGUAAUGAAGCGGUUUUUUAUCGUCACUUCUUUGAGAAUCUCUCUCUGUUUUUCUACCAGUGAUUUUAUAAUUGGACUUUAAUCAGGAGAAAGGUGAAAAUAUUUCUUUUUAUAAGCAUCGUAUCACAAUGAUAAAUAAACUAUUUUCUAUGUUUAUUACUGAAAGACUGAUAAGUCUAUUCGCACAAUUUCAUAUUAAGACAAUUAAAACAAAAAAAGCAAAUUUGAUUGCGAAAUUUUGUCCAUAAUUCGAAAAAUCUGUUUCUUGUUUUUCUAUUUGAAAUCGUUUCUUUCUGUAAAGAUUUUGCCAAUUCGUAUUUUAUUUCAAUGUUUUUGUCCCGUUUUUAAAUAUUUAAUUGUCUGAAAAUAU